AUUCUACUCCCUUUGUCCCAAAUUAGUUGUCUUAUUAGAUUUCUCUAGAUACGGUUGUAUUUAGACAUGUUUUAACGUCUGACACAUCCAUAUCUAGAAAAAUUCAAGACAAUUAAUUUGGGAUGGAGGUAAUACAUG
rnacentral:pre_miRNA from 1 species